GCUGAAGGGAGUGGUCUCAGUGGGAGGAGCUGAAUGAGCCCGGAGCGAGGAGCGGCGUGCAGAGAGCGUGGUGGCGUCCACGGUUCUGAGCGUGAGGAGCCGCGCGUGUUGGCUAGACCCGAUGUAUGUGCACCAAAGGAGGUGACUUGGAGGAGAGCAAACCAAUGGAGAUGAGCAUCUCUAGGUCAAAUUUGCCAUGGAUUGGAUGUCACCUGCUCAUCAGGCUUUGGAAGAUGAAUUAUGUUAAUGGAUUUUUUAAAAAUAUGAACUUCUUUUGAAGUAUUAAACAUACAGAAAAAUGCACAGAUGGUAAGUAUAAUUGGGUGACUUGUCAUUAAAAAACAUAGCUGUUUAACUAGAAUCCAUGAGAUGAAAUAUUAACAGAACCACAGAAGUUCCCUCAUGAUCCUUUGGAUUUUCUUUUAAUAUCACAAAUAUCAAGACCUUACUCUCUUCUCUUUCCCUGAAAUGGAUCGGUGUAAAUAACCAAGAAGAUAUUGUUGAUGUGGUGAAAACCAGCCCUUUUGUGCUCAGGGCAUUUUCAUCAAUGACCAUGAACCUGGAUUAUGGACCCUCACAAAUAUGAAGAAACUCUCAAGGAAUCACGCCAGGAAAGGAGGCUUGGCCACAAAGAACAUCUCGACUAUUCAAAAGAUAAAAAUCUGAACCAGCCAAAAGAAGAUAUGUAUUGGGCAGAAUCUGGGACUGAGAAGACUCCAAGCUUGAAGCUUGCAUGUCCUCAAGGAAGUGUUACUCUCCUGGUGGCUGUACACACAUGGAGUGUGGUCAGGGCUAGCAUUCAGCAUGGAAAGAUCAUGAGCAGGAUGGAGCCCACAAACACCAACUGGAACCCCUUGAGGAGAGACUGAAAUCUGUGCCCAUUCUUGUUAAUUCUGACAUUGGUGACAAAGGUAUCUUUCAGAAGCCAGGCCUUGUGUCAUGGAACUAAACAUGCAAGCCUGGCUUGGGUGCCAGAGAAGUGGAAGGAUGAUCCAGAGGAAGGUAAAACAAUUUCCUGCAAUUCCUUCCUGCCCGUGGGACACAUUAGGAGAUCAGUAACAACGUGUGAGAGAAGUCUAACUGGAAACAUAAAAGAAAGGGAACUCUGGGAAAGGUAGCUCAGCCUAGCCAAGUUGGCACAUUACAAAGUCAUCAUACUCAGAAAGAAGGAAAAUAUAUUGGAUCUGAGAAUUUAUACUUACCAAAUUUGAAAAAUGGUUGCCAUUAUUUCUUCAAAUAUGUUUCUGCUCCCUAUUCUUUUAGGAUUCCAAUUACACAUAUGUAAUCAUGUCUCACAGAUAAUUAAGACUCUUUCAUUAUUUAUCUAGCCAUUUUCUCUCCAUGUUUCAUAUUCGAUUCUGUUUGCUAUGUUUUCAAGUUCACUGUUCUUUUCUUCUGCAGAGUCCAGCCAGCUGUUAAAUCUAUCUGGUAAACUUUCAUUUCAGGUUUUGUAUUUUAUAACACUAAAAGUUACUUUUAUAUGAUUUAAUUUCUCUCAUUAUGUUCAUGUAUUCCUUUAAUUCCUUACUAAAUUUUUAAUAAUGAGUUCAUAGUCCUUUCAGCUAACUUUAUUAUCACUAUCAUUCUGAGUCUAUUUUAUUUUUUAUUAGUUUUAUUUUAAGUAGACUCCAUGCCCACUGUAGGGUUUGAACUCAUGACCCCAAGAUCAAGAGUCAUGUCCUCUACCAUCUAACUCAGCCAGGUGCCAGUGAUCUAAUUUUAUUAACAGAUUUCUUCUCCUUAUAUUAGUUAUAGUAUUCUGCUUUUUUUGCCUUUAUAGUAAUUUUUAUUGGAUGCUGGACAUUGUGAAUAUUACAUUGUUGGGUGUCUUCUUUUAUUCUUUUAUUUUUAAAGGUUUAUUUCUUCAUUUGAGAGAGAGUGCAAGCAUGAGUGGGGAGAGGGGCAGAAGGAGAGGGAAUGGGAAAGAGGCAAACUCCUUGAUGAGCACAGAGCCAUCUCAGGACUCCAUCUCAUGACCUUGAGAUCAUGACCUGAGCCAAAACAAAAAGUUGGCAUCCUACUCCACUGAACUACGCAGGCAUCCCUAUGAAAACUUCUUUCAAAGAGUGCUGAAGUUUGUUAUGACUGGAAGGCAAGUUAUUUGUGGAUCAGUUUGAUUCUUUUGGUGCAUCUUUAUAAACUUUGUUAAGGUGGGCGUAUAGUAGCCUCAGCUUUGGACUACUCUAGCACUAAGUUGUUAAACUUCUGGGGUCUCCACUGGAUGCUCUAUGUUAUCAGUAUGGUUUCUCCUUUUUCACUAGUUGGAAAAUCAAAUAUCUCCCAGCCCCAUGUGAGCUCUGGGAAUUUUUCAGCUUACAGCUCUUUUGCAAGACCUCAUGGAGUUCUGCAUUGCACAUGUGCCAUGUAGUAUCCUGCCAAAAACUAAGCAGUCUUAUGAAGAUUUGCACAUUUCUUGAACUCUUGUUCUGCACAAUUUCCAUUUCCCCCAGCAUUCUGCCCUGCAAAUUCCAUUCACCUAAGUGCCCCCAAACUCCAAUCCCACUCUCUUCAGUUCAGGGACAACACGGUGGUCUGCCUAGCUUCCCCUUAUUGUGCUACAGUCCGGAAAAUGCCUUUAGGCAGAAGCCAGUAGUGAUCAUCAGUUUCACCUUAUUUGUUUCAUUUCUUUCAAGUAUCUCAGUCCUGACUGUUUGACAGUGUCUAAAAACUGUUGUUUCAGACAUUUUGUCCAAUUUUCUAGUUGUUUAUGAUUAGUUCAGUGCCAGUAUUCUGUCAUGGUUGAAGAAAGAAAUCUACAUUUUCUCUUGGCUAGUAUCAUUGAGCCAAUGAAUCACAUGAAAAAGACUCUACCUCUGGACUUUUUAGAGCCAUGAGCCAAUGUUCUCAUUUUAUUGUAAGACAGUGUGAGUUGGGUUUUUCUGCUUACCUACAACCAAAAGUUAUAUAGUAAGUGGAAUACUAUAUAAAGACUUGGAGUCUCAGUAAAAAAUUAAAAUAUAUAUUUAAUAUUCUAUUAUUUCUCUUACAUUUUUUCUCCCAAAUUGGUCUUUAGCAAUGCAAGCAUUGUUCUUAUUUGGUUAAAUUGCCAUCUAUACAUUAUAUAUGCCUUUCAUACAAUAAUUUACUGAGAUAUAUCUGUAUAAAUUCACCCAACUAUAAUUCAGAUGCUAUACUAGACACUAAGAGUUUAAAGGUAAAGUUCCUGCUCUCAAGAAGCUAACAGUCUACUAAGGAAAAUUUACACAUAAGCAUAUAAGGAUAACGUAGUUCUUUGGGCGUUGAAUUACGUCUCCCAAAAAGAUAUGUAGAAUCCUAACCUCUGAUACUUAUCAUGCCAUUUUCCUUGGGAAUAGUGUCUUUGCAGAGAUAGUCAAGAUAAAAUAAGUCCAUACUAGAUUAAAGUCCAAUAACUAGUAUUCUAAUAAAAAAGGAGGAAAUUUGGACAGAAACACAGAGAGAAGGCCACAUGAAGGCAAAAGCACAGAGAAAAACAGAGGAGAAAUCCACACCAAGAUGGAGGCAGAGAUUGGAAUGAUGUAUCUACAAGCCAAAGAAUGUGAAGGAUUGCCAGCAACCACCAGGAGCUAGGAAGCUGAAAAAAGAAGAUUCUUCUCUAGAGCCUUCUGGAGAGUUUGGCUCUGCCUACCUCUUGAUUUUGGACUUCUAGCUUCCAAAACUGUGAACAAAUAAAUUUUUCUUGUUUUAAGCCACCCCGUUUGUGAUACUUGGUUCCAGUAGUCCAAGGAAAUUAAUUCUCAGUUUUAUACACACAACAGUGGAAGUGCAUGGCAAAGCAGCAGCACAAAGGAAGGAAUGAUGCAUUUCCGGAACUCCUAUGCACUGUGAUGUUAUUUACUAGUAGUGACUAGAAGGACCUCUUAGUAGACACUGAUCUAGAUACUUGGUAUCCGUCACAAGCCAGAGGGGGAAGGAGGAGCAGAAAAAUAUUUGAAGAAAUAAAAGCCAACACUUUUCCAAAAUAGAUGAAAACUAUGAAACCACAUACCCAAGAUCCUCACAUUUCAGGAGCUGAAAACAACAAAGAUUUCUCGCUCACAUGACAUUCAUCGUGUUUCUGGGAGACUCUGCAGGGUGUUUUUCAUCCAGGUGCUGGCUGAGGGGAUCUUCCUCAGCUUUCAGCCAACAUCACACAAUUCUCGGGGUGGCUUCUAGUCAGUGAUGAGCAAGGCAAUGGAUCAAAGGCUUAGUCAUUUCUGCCCAAAGCAGAACUUCUCUGUUCUGCCCAAGGGCACUCUCUGAUCUAGGGUCCUGCCUUUUGGGGGUGGAUUCUGCCGGGUCUGCACUGUGGUCUUACAGCUUCCCCUGCCCAGUCUUGUUUCUUCCCCUUUCCCUUUGUAACUUGUGCUCCGCAAUCCAAUGUUUAUACCCCUGACUCCACCCCCACAGCUGCUUUCUGGAGGAUCUAAUCUGUGACCCUCCCCUUCUCCCUCCACCCCUCCAGCAUGAGAGGAAUUUGGAAAUCAAAGUAAAACAGAUGGAGAAAGGUAGCUUUCUCUGUCUGAUUCACGAAGAGAUCUUUCUUGUAAAACAGAGAGCACUGUUUGUUGUUAUUGUUGUUUGUUUGUUUCUUUUUAAUGUUUUAAUUUUUUAAUUAACAUAUAAUGUAUUAUUAGCCCCAGGGGUACAGGUCUGUGAAUCGCCAGGUUUACACACUUCACAGCACUCACCGUAGCCCAUACCCUCCUCAAUGUCCAUAACCCAACC
rnacentral:lncRNA from 1 species